GGUGCCUCGAAUGACUCCUCGCCCUUCGGGAGCCGGAAGUGGCGGGAUUACCGGAGGGGCGGUCAGGAG
rnacentral:SRP_RNA from 15 species